UACGUAGGCAGCGAGCGUUGUUCGGAUUCAUUGGGCGUAAAGGGUGCGUAGGUGGCGCCGUAAGUCAGGUGUGAAAUCUCGGGGCUCAACCCCGAAACUGCACUUGAUACUGCGGGGCUCGAGUACUGGAGAGGAGAUUGGAAUUUACGGUGUAGCAGUGAAAUGCGUAGAUAUCGUAAGGAAGACCAGUGGCGAAGGCGAAUCUCUGGACAGUUACUGACACUGAGGCACGAAGGCCAGGGGAGCAAACGGG
rnacentral:rRNA from 1 species